rnacentral:rRNA from 1 species
AUUGAACGCUGGCGGCAGGCUUAACACAUGCAAGUCGAGCGGAGCGGCGGACGGGUGAGUAAUACCUAGGUAUCUGCCUGGUAGUGGGGGAUCAAGUUCGGCAAUGGACCCUAAUACAGCAUACUUUCCGAUGUGCUUAUGUCGGAUCUGCGAGUUGGUGCGGGAUUGGCUCCCCAAGGCUACGAUCCGAACCUGGUCUGAGAGGAUGAUCAGUCACACUGGGACUGGGACACGGUCCAGACUCCUACGGGAGGCAGCAGGCGGGAAUAUUGGACAAUGGGCGAAACCCUGAUCCAGCCAUGCCGCGGAUGUGAAGAAGGUCUUCGGAUUGUAAAGCACUGUGAGUGUUGAGGCGUGACCGACAGAGUAAGCACCGGCUAACUCUGUGCCAGCAGCCGCGGUAAUUC